rnacentral:rRNA from 1 species
GACGAACGCUGGCGGCGUGCCUAAUACAUGCAAGUCGAGCGAAUCAAUGGGAGCUUGCUCCCUGAGAUUAGCGGCGGACGGGUGAGUAACACGUGGGUAACCUGCCUGUAAGACUGGGAUAACUUCGGGAAACCGGAGCUAAUACCGGAUAGUUUCUUUUCUCGCAUGAGAGAAGAUGGAAAGAUGGUUUCGGCUCUCACUUACAGAUGGACCCGCGGCGCAUUAGCUAGUUGGUGAGGUAACGGCUCACCAAGGCGACGAUGCGUAGCCGACCUGAGAGGGUGAUCGGCCACACUGGGACUGAGACACGGCCCAGACUCCUACGGGAGGCAGCAGUAGGGAAUCUUCCGCAAUGGACGAAAGUCUGACGGAGCAACGCCGCGUGAGCGAAGAAGGCCUUCGGGUCGUAAAGCUCUGUUGUUAGGGAAGAACAAGUACGAGAGUAACUGCUCGUACCUUGACGGUACCUAACCAGAAAGCCACGGCUAACUACGUGCCAGCAGCCGCAGUAACAC